GACGAACGCUGGCGGCGUGCUUAACACAUGCAAGUCGAACGAAGAGCGAUGGAAGCUUGCUUCUAUCAAUCUUAGUGGCGAACGGGUGAGUAACGCGUAAUCAACCUGCCCUUCAGAGGGGGACAACAGUUGGAAACGACUGCUAAUACCGCAUACGAUCUGACCUCGGCAUCGAGGAUGGAUGAAAGGUGGCCUCUAUUUAUAAGCUAUCACUGAAGGAGGGGAUUGCGUCUGAUUAGCUAGUUGGAGGGGUAACGGCCCACCAAGGCGAUGAUCAGUAGCCGGUCUGAGAGGAUGAACGGCCACAUUGGGACUGAGACACGGCCCAGACUCCUACGGGAGGCAGCAGUGGGGAAUCUUCCGCAAUGGACGAAAGUCUGACGGAGCAACGCCGCGUGAGUGAUGACGGCCUUCGGGUUGUAAAGCUCUGUUAAUCGGGACGAAAGGCCUUCUUGCGAA
rnacentral:rRNA from 1 species